CCGAACCCAAGAUCCCCGUUCCGCAUACCUGAUCAUAACUCGCAUCCAAAAGGACCUUGGUCAUGUCAAAAACGUCCAAUCCGCUUUUAAGGAUUGGUGGCGACUACGAAACCAAUUUUGAGCCAUCGACACCGCAGACGGAAACGUUCAAGUGGUGGAUACAAUAUACGCCCCCAAUUAAUAUAUUUGUAUAAUAUUCGAUCACCAUGUACAAAUUUCAACGAGCACAAAAAGAUGUAUUCAACCACAAAGCAUAGCUCAUCCCAUGCAUCUAUGACUCAUUUAUUGAACUCAAAGUUGAUCGAGUCGAUCUGCACAUAAGUUAUCCCUCCGAAUUUCAAUGGAUCCAAGCUUCGCUAGGCUUCUACACAAUACUUCUUUUGAUCAAAAAAUUUCCUAAAUUCAAACUGGAGCACACCGGCGAUGGUCUGUGAUUUUUUCCCAUUUAACUUGUAUCCACCUUCAUGAAACAUUAACAAGUAAAUAACUCAGUACCAGACAUAAAUGACAUAAAUAACCCAGUAUCAAACAUAAAUGACAGGUACAAAAUUUGGUAUCUGACGACAUUGAAUGAUACAUAACUACGUAUUAAUACGCAGAAAUAAGUACAACUUAAAUAGAACUCAGUAUCACAAAGCACUAAAAAGAUACAACCCUUCAAACCACAAUAUAUUAGCAGAUAAAGAGCUCAAUACCAGAACAAAAGAACCGGUAUAAAACUGCAACCCACAAUUUUCCUUCUCAAUCUCUUAUCAAAAGAUACAAAACUAUUAACAAGAAACACGUCCGACAAAUCAAUCACAAGAAAUGAACUAUAAAUAAGAAAUCAACCCAAAAAAUAAUCAAAGAUACAGAUCUACUAAAAAAGCAACUUGAAAUCAAUACUUUAGACCGACACUAGCAAGACGUGAAAUACAACAAACGUAUUCAAAACCAUAUGGUACCUGAUGUUUCGUUUGUUGCAUGUUUUCUUUAUUUUUCAUCGACUUCUUUCCCUUCUCCUUUAUAGGCUCCUUCCUUUUCGUGCGGUGGCAACGGGAAACUCUGUCUACAUCCAAGCCGGUUGAAUCUGGUACAUCGCUAGGCUUUCGUCGGAUUUGCCAUCUCCAGCCGACUGCUCCGCCAUUGAUUCCGGUAAAGCGACGUCGGACAGACCGGUGGUGUGAUAUUGAUGUUGGAUCUCGUCCACUCAUUUGAUGACCUAAAGAACUCGUAUGUGCGCGAUGGAAGAAUGAAAAUAGAAUGGGCUUUGGUGGUUUCAUUAUUUGGUGGGUUCAGAGAAAUAUUACAAAAAUGACAACCCUAAAGAUUUUGGUGAUUUCAUUAUUUUGAAAAAUUACUUUAUUUGUUUUUUAUUUGCCACCAUUGGAUCUUAGUACUUAGAUUUAAUGUGUG
rnacentral:lncRNA from 1 species